CUUAAAGUUUAUCCACGGUGGCAGAUGGACAGAAGUAGGAGACUGAGAAUAUUGUUCAACAAGAUCCCCCUGAGUCUGACUCAUACUUCCCAUGGCUACUGGAGUAGAACGUCAUCAUCCCUUACCCUGGCAGCCCUGCGGCAAAACCACUGGCCCAGUCCUCAGUUGUCUUCCAUCACCCUGCUGAAACACGUGAGAACUUCCAAGAAGCUGGUAGGCAACCAAUCCCUUCCCUCAGCCACUUGUAGCCCGCUGUCUGGUAGCACAUGUUGUAUGCAGAUUUCAUUAAACAGAUUUAAAAUUUUUCCAUUCUGUACUUGGGCAAGCCAAAAACAAGACUCAUUGCUCUGGGAUUCUCUUAAGUUUAUUUGUUUUUUCCUGACCAUUACCCACUCCCACAGCAAAUUUUUAGUCUGGAGUAGUAAAAAUCCAUCUGACCAUUUGCUCCCCACAUUUCUCUCUCUGGCUAGCUCUGCUCUAUUGUCCUUGGAAAUAUCUCUGUCUACUCCCUUUUUAGGUGGGAUUUCUCUACUUAAUAUAUUGAGGUUUCUUUGCCGGUGACUUGAAUUAAACACAGUAUCUUCAAAUUAUACUUAUCACAUCUGUAUUUUCUGCUAAUAUAGCUAUUUCAUAAUUCAUGGAAAAUCUAAAACUAUAUAAAUCUAAGAAAUGAAAAAAUAUUUUGAAAUUUCCCUGAGAUAAUUACAAUCAAUGUUUUAUUGUACAGACUUCUCAGCCUUUCCUUAUGAAUAUAUUUUCAAUUGGCUGUAUUAUACCCAUAUAAUUUUAUACAGGUAAGAUUGUAUUAGCCAUACAUCUUUGCAAUGAC
rnacentral:lncRNA from 1 species